CAGUAGGGAAUCUUCCACAAUGGACGAAAGUCUGAUGGAGCAACGCCGCGUGAGUGAAGAAGGGUUUCGGCUCGUAAAGCUCUGUUGGUAGUGAAGAAAGAUAGAGGUAGUAACUGGCCUUUAUUUGACGGUAAUUACUUAGAAAGUCACGGCUAACUACGUGCC
rnacentral:rRNA from 1 species